rnacentral:rRNA from 1 species
GACGUAGGGCGGCGAGCGUUGUCCGGAUUUAUUGGGCGUAAAGAGCUCGUAGGCGGUGUGUCGCGUCGGCCGUGAAAACCUGCAGCUUAACUGUGGCGUGCGGUCGAUACGGGCAUCACUGGAGUUCGGCAGGGGAGACUGGAAUUCCUGGUGUAGCGGUGAAAUGCGCAGAUAUCAGGAGGAACACCGGUGGCGAAGGCGGGUCUCUGGGCCGAUACUGACGCUGAGGAGCGAAAGCGUGGGGAGCAAACAGG